AAUUACCUGGAAAGUUCGCAUUUAUACUAUAUUGCGCGCCGAACAUUUUAUUUUUAGGAAGUCAAGGUGUAGUGGGCGUGAACGCUUUGCCCCCCUGCAGAGAAUCCCGAAGCUACGCAAGAGACAUCCACCCUGUGAACUUUAUGGUCCACAUGCGUAUUAACGGCUUUCUGGGCUGAUA
rnacentral:other from 1 species